rnacentral:rRNA from 1 species
CAAUAGCGUAUAUUAAAGUUGUUGCAGUUAAAAAGCUCGUAGUUGGAUUUCGGGGCAGCCUGGCUGGUCCGCCGCAAGGCGAGUACUGGUCAGCCGCCCUUCCUCUCGAAAGCCCCGACUGCUCUUCGUUGCAGUGGUCGGGUAGUUCGGGACGUUUACUUUGAAAAAAUUAGAGUGUUCAAGGCAGGCCUACGCCUGAAUACAUUAGCAUGGAAUAAUGGAAGAGGACCUCGGUCCUAUUUUGUUGGUUUCCAGGGCCGAAGUAAUGAUUAAGAGGGACAGUUGGGGGCAUUCGUAUUUAAUUGUCAGAGGUGAAAUUCUCGGAUUUAUGAAAGACGAACAACUGCGAAAGCAUUUGCCAAGGAUGUUUUCAUUAAU